GGUUAUAUAGCUCAGUGGUAGAGUGUGUGCUUAGCAUGCACAAGAUCCUGGGUUCAAUCCCCAGUACCUCCA
rnacentral:tRNA from 1 species